AUAGCGUUUCUGUAAAGAAAGGAAAAAGUACUAUAUUUGGAGAAGCCCCGGUCUGCUUUCAAGACUCCUAAAUCUGAGUCUUCAGUGAAUUGGACCAAAAAAGAAAAACAAAAACAAAAAUGAAGACAGGACUAGUGGUGAUUCUAUGGCUUCAACUAGACUGGAUAACUGGAGAAGUGGUCGUGGAACAGAACCCUCGAUACCUGAGCACCCAGGAGGGAGAAGACCAUACCAUCUACUGCAAUUAUUCAGUCACUUCUACAGACAGACUGCACUGGUACAGACAGGAUCCAGGGAAAAGCCUGGAAUUUCUGUUUAUAUUGCUGUCAAAUGGAGCAGUGAAGCAGGAGGGACCAUUAACAGCCUCACUUGAUACCAUGGCCCGUCUUAGCACCCUGCACAUCACAGACACCCAGUAUGUUCUCUCUGCCACCUACUUCUGUGCCUUAGUCACACAGUGCUCCCAUGACACUGUUGGUCUAUACCCAAACCUGCAGCUGGUACCAUAG